rnacentral:rRNA from 1 species
UACAGAGGUCUCAACCGUUGUUCGGAUUCAUUGGGCGUAAGGGUGCGUAGGCGGGUCUUUUAAGUCAGGGGUGAAAUCCUGGAGCUCAACUCCAGAACUGCCUUUGAUACUGAGGAUCUUGAGUACGGGAGAGGUGAGUGGAACUGCGAGUGUAGAGGUGAAAUUCGUAGAUAUUCGCAAGAACACCAGUGGCGAAGGCGGCUCACUGGCCCGUUACUGACGCUGAGGCACGAAAGCGUGGGGAGCAAACAGG